GAGUUUGAUCCUGGCUCAGAACGAAUGCUGGCGGCGUGUUUAAGACAUGCAAGUCGCACGGAAUGAACCGAGUAGUAAUACCUGGUGAUUUUAGUGGCGCACGGGUGAGUAACACGUGAAUUACAUGCCCUUCAGUGGGGAAUAGCCCAGGGAAACUUGGAUUAAUGCCCCAUAGUCUCGCAAGAGUAAAGGUGGCCGCAAGGCUGUCGCUGAAGGAUUGGUUCGCGCCCUAUCAGCUUGUUGGUGAGGUAACGGCUCACCAAGGCUACGACGGGUACCUGGUCUGAGAGGACGAUCAGGCACACUGGAACUGAGACACGGUCCAGACACCUACGGGUGGCAGCAGUCGAGAAUAAUUCACAAUGGACGAAAGUCUGAUGGUGCAACGCCGCGUGGAGGAUGACGGUCUUAGGAUUGUAAACUCCUGUCAUCCGGGAGAAAGACUUGGGAGUUAAUAGCUCACAGGGUUGAUAGUACCGGAAGAGGAAGGGACGGCUAACUUCGUGCCAGCAGCCGCGGUAAUACGAAGGUCCCAAGCGUUGUUCGGAAUCACUGGGCGUAAAGGGAGCGUAGGCGGCGCGGUAAGUCGGAUGUGAAAUCCCGAGGCUCAACCUCGGAACUGCAUCUGAUACUGCCGUGCUAGAGUAAUGGAGGGGUAGCUGGAAUUCUCGGUGUAGCAGUGAAAUGCGUAGAUAUCGAGAGGAACACUCGUGGCGAAAGCGAGCUACUGGACAUUUACUGACGCUGAGGCUCGAAGGCUAGGGGAGCGAAAGGGAUUAGAUACCCCUGUAGUCCUAGCAGUAAACGGUGCACGCUUGGUGUGAGGGGAUUCGACCCCCCUUGUGCCGGAGCUAACGCGUUAAGCGUCAAUGCUCAGUACAAUUAGAACCGAUACCGCGAGGUGGAGGAAAUCUGUAAAACUGGGCUCAGUUCGGAUUGGAGGCUGCAACUCGCCUCCAUGAAGUUGGAAUCGCUAGUAAUGGGGCAUCAUCUACGGCCCCGUGAAUACGUUCCCGGGUUUUGUACACACCGCCCGUCACAUCAUGGAAGCCGGUAGCACCCGAAGUAUUGUUCAAUCAAUCAUAAGGUGAAGUUGGUA
rnacentral:rRNA from 1 species